GAGCCAUUAGCUCAGCUGGUAGAGCAUCUGACUUUUAAUCAGAGGGUCAGAGGUUCGAAUCCUCUAUGGCU
rnacentral:tRNA from 1 species